rnacentral:rRNA from 2 species
AGCAGCCGCGGUAAUUCCAGCUCCAAUAGCGUAUAUUAAAGUUGUUGCAGUUAAAAAGCUCGUAGUUGAAUUUCGGGAUCAAUUAAUCGGUCGUGCCUCUGGUACGCACUGGUUUUAUUGGUUUCUCCCUUCUGACGAACCAGGAUGUCAUUAAUUUGGUGUCUUGGAGAAUCAGGACUGUUACUUUGAAAAAAUUAGAGUGUUUAAAGCAGGCUAACGCUUGAAUACAUUAGCAUGGAAUAAUGAAAUAGGACGUUUGAUCCUAUUUUGUUGGUUUCUAGGAUCGACGUAAUGAUUAAUAGGGAUAGUUGGGGGCAUUAGUAUUCAAUUGUCAGAGGUGAAAUUCUUGGAUUUAUUGAAGACUAACUACUGCGAAAGCAUUUGCCAAGGAUGUUUUCAUUAAUCAAGAACGAAAGUUAGGGGAUCGAAGACGAUCAGAUACCGUCGUAGUCUUAACCAUAAACUAUGCCGACUAGGGAUCGGAUGAUGUUAAUUUUUUAAUGACUCAUUCGGCGCCUUACG